CCUACGGGAGGCUGCAGUGGGGGAUAUUGCACAAUGGGGGAAACCCUGAUGCAGCGAUGCCGCGUGAAUGAAGACGGCCUUCGGGAUGUAAAGUUCUGUCGCAGGGGACGAAAAUGACGGUACCCUGCAAGAAAGCUCCGGCUAACUACGUGCCAGCAGCCGCGGUAAUACGUAGGGAGCAAGCGUUGUCCGGAUUUACUGGGGGUAAAGGGAGCGUAGGCGGGAGGAUAAGUUGAAUGUGAAAUCCAGGGGCUCAACCCAGAGCUGCGUUGGAAACUGUGCUUCUUGAGGGCCGUGGAGGCAGGCGGAAUUCCUAGUGUAGCGGUGAAAUGCGUAGAUAUUAGGAGGAACACCAGUGGCGAAGGCGGCCUGCUGGGCUUUUACUGACGCUGAGGCUCGAAAGCGUGGGGAGCAAACAGGAUUAGAUACCCUUGUAGUC
rnacentral:rRNA from 1 species